rnacentral:rRNA from 1 species
GAUGAACGCUAGCUACAGGCUUAACACAUGCAAGUCGAGGGGUAACGAGAGGAAAGCUUGCUUUCCUUGUUGACGACCGGCGCACGGGUGAGUAACGCGUAUCCAACCUGCCCCCAACUAGGGAAUAACCUUGCGAAAGUAAGACUAAUACCCUAUAAUUUCCUCAGAUGUCAUCUGACGAGGAAUAAAGAUUUAUCGGUUGUGGAUGGGGAUGCGUCUGAUUAGCUCGUUGGCGGGGUAACGGCCCACCAAGGCAACGAUCAGUAGGGGUUCUGAGAGGAAGGUCCCCCACAUUGGAACUGAGAAACGGUCCAAACUCCUACGGGAGGCAGCAGUGAGGAAUAUUGGUCAAUGGGCGGAAGCCUGAACCAGCCAAGUAGCGUGCAGGAUGACGGCCCUAUGGGUUGUAAACUGCUUUUAUACAGGAAUAAAGUUAGCCACGUGUGGUUAUUUGUAGGUACUGUAUGAAUAAGGACCGGCUAAUUCCGUGCCAGCAGCCGCCGUAA